rnacentral:rRNA from 1 species
UACGUAGGGUGCAAGCGUUAAUCGGAAUUACUGGGCGUAAAGCGUGCGCAGGCGGUUAUGCAAGACAGAUGUGAAAUCCCCGGGCUCAACCUGGGAACUGCAUUUGUGACUGCAUAGCUAGAGUACGGUAGAGGGGGGAUGGAAUUCCGCGUGUAGCAGUGAAAUGCGUAGAUAUGCGGAGGAACACCGAUGGCGAAGGCAAUCCCCUGGACCUGUACUGACGCUCAUGCACGAAAGCGUGGGGAGCAAACAGG